GAGAUCAGUGUCUUGAUAAAUACAAACUUCCUGAAAAGAUGGGUUAAACCUCAAAGCCUGUGUAACUACAGCUUGACAAAGACUCUCGAGGAAAGGUAAACGGAAAGUGAGUUGGCAACACAACUCACCUACAAGUUCUCCAAUCAUGAAAAGCAAGUACAGAACGGCAGCAAUGGUCAACCUGGCUUUCACCUUUCUCUGCUUCAGUAUCUCUCUCUGUUUGCUGCAGUUGUCACAGGAGUCCACCUUCAAACUCAGCUGACUGUUGGUCAAAGUUUUGGAGGCCCUAUGAUUACAAUCAGCCCACUGGAACAAUCCAGGAUAAUGUUUUUUUUUUAAGAUGGAAUCUCGCCCUGUCGCCCAGGCUGGAGUGCAGUGGAGCUGCUCA
rnacentral:lncRNA from 10 species